GUGCUCAGUUCAACAACACCUGUACUGUAAUUGGAAUAACACUGAAAGAUUAGCAAGGCCUCUGUGCAAGAAUGAUGUUCAAAUCUGUGAAGAUUUACUAUUUUAA
ensembl:snRNA U6 U6 spliceosomal RNA